AGUUUGAUCCGUGGCUCGAGGACGAACGCUGGCGGCGCGCCUAACACAUGCAAGUCGAACGAGAGAGAAGGAGCUUGCUUCUUCGAUCGAGUGGCGAACGGGUGAGUAACGCGUGAGGAACCUGCCUCAAAGAGGGGGACAACAGUUGGAAACGACUGCUAAUACCGCAUAAGCCCACGGGUCGGCAUCGAUCUGAGGGAAAAGGAGCAAUCCGCUUUGAGAUGGCCUCGCGUCCGAUUAGCUAGUUGGUGAGGUAACGGCCCACCAAGGCGACGAUCGGUAGCCGGACUGAGAGGUUGAACGGCCACAUUGGGACUGAGACACGGCCCAGACUCCUACGGGAGGCAGCA
rnacentral:rRNA from 1 species